rnacentral:rRNA from 1 species
AAUCUUCCACAAUGGACGAAAGUCUGAUGGAGCAACGCCGCGUGAGCGAAGAAGGGUUUCGGAUUGUAAAGCGCUGUUUCGAGGGAAGAACAAGUACGGGAGUAACUGCCCGUAGCUUGACGGUACCUCGUCAGAAAGCCACGGCUAACUACGUGCUAGCAGCCGCGGUAAUACGUAGGUGGCAAGCGCUGUCCGGAAUUAUUGGGGGUAAGGCGCGCGCAGGCGGUCCUUUAAGUCUGAUGUGAAAGCCCGCGGCUCAACCGUGGAGGGUCAUUGGAAACUGGAGGACUGGAGUACAGAAGAGGAAAGCGGAAUUCCACGUGUAGCGGUGAAAUGCGUAGAAAUGUGGAGGAACACCAGUGGCGAAGGCGGCUUUCUGGUCUGUAACUGACGCUGAGGCGCGAAAGCGUGGGGAGCAAACA